rnacentral:other from 20 species
AAAAAUGUUUUCUAGGGUUCCGCAACACGCUUUGUUGGUCUGGUCCGAGAGAAAACUCACAGCCUGGCUGUGUCACGGAGGGAUAAAAGCCUGGGAGAG